rnacentral:rRNA from 1 species
UGCCCUUCACUCUGGGACAAGCCCUGGAAACGGGGUCUAAUACCGGAUAACACUCCUCCCUGCAUGGGGAGGGGUUAAAAGCUCCGGCGGUGAAGGAUGAGCCCGCGGCCUAUCAGCUUGUUGGUGGGGUAAUGGCCCACCAAGGCGACGACGGGUAGCCGGCCUGAGAGGGCGACCGGCCACACUGGGACUGAGACACGGCCCAGACUCCUACGGGAGGCAGCAGUGGGGAAUAUUGCACAAUGGGCGAAAGCCUGAUGCAGCGACGCCGCGUGAGGGAUGACGGCCUUCGGGUUGUAAACCUCUUUCAGCAGGGAAGAAGCGAAAGUGACGGUACCUGCAGAAGAAGCACCGGCUAACUACGUGCCAGCAGCCGCGGUAAUACGUAGGGUGCGAGCGUUGUCCGGAAUUAUUGGGCGUAAAGAGCUCGUAGGCGGCUUGUCACGUCGGAUGUGAAAGCCCGGGGCUUAACCCCGGGUCUGCAUUCGAUACGGGCAGGCUAGAGUGUGGUAGGGGAGAUCGGAAUUCCUGGUGUAGCGGUGAAAUGCGCAGAUAUCAGGAGGAACACCGGUGGCGAAGGCGGAUCUCUGGGCCAUUACUGACGCUGAGGAGCGAAAGCGUGGGGAGCGAACAGGAUUAGAUACCCUGGUAGUCCACGCC